GACGAACGCUGGCGGCGUGCUUAACACAUGCAAGUCGAACGGAAAGGCCCUGCUUUUGUGGUGUGCUCGAGUGGCGAACGGGUGAGUAACACGUGAGUAACCUGCUCUUGACUUUGGUAUAACUUCAGGAAACUGGGUCUAAUACCGUAUAGGACCUCCUGCUGCAUGGGGGGGGCUGGAAAUUUUGGGGGGUGGGGGGUGCCCUGGCGGCUUAUCAGCUUGUUGGGGGGUUAGCUGCUUACCAAGGUUUUGACGGGUAGCCGGACUGAGUGGGUGACAAGCCACAUUGGCACUGAGAUGAGGCAGAGACUGAUAAGAGAGGCCGCAGUGGGGAAUCGUGCACAAGGGGCGGAAGCGAUGUGGAGAAGCGCCGCGUGGGGGAUAACGGUUUUCGGGGUGAAAACCGCUUUCGAGUGUGACGCAGCGUGAGUGACGGUAAUUGGUAAAGAAGCACCGGCUAACUACGUG
rnacentral:rRNA from 1 species